AUUGAACGCUGGCGGCAUGCUUUACACAUGCAAGUCGAACGGUAACAGGGUGCUUGCACCGCUGACGAGUGGCGAACGGGUGAGUAAUGCGUCGGAACGUGCCGAGUAGUGGGGGAUAACGCAGCGAAAGUUGUGCUAAUACCGCAUACGUACUGAGGUAGAAAGUGGGGGACCUUCGGGCCUCACGCUAUUCGAGCGGCCGACGUCUGAUUAGCUAGUAGGUGAGGUAAAGGCUCACCUAGGCGACGAUCAGUAGCGGGGCUGAGAGGAUGGUACGACACACUUGGACGGAGACACGGCACAGACUCCGACGGGGGGCAGCAGUGGGGAAUUUUGGACAAUGGGCGAGAGCCUGAUCCAGCCAUGCCGCGUGUCUGAAGAAGGCCUUCGGGUUGUAAAGGACUGUUGUCAGGGAGGAAAUCCCUAGUGCUAAUAACACUGGGGGAUGACAGUACCUGAAGAAUAAGCACCGGCUAACUACGUGCCAGCCGCCGCAGUAA
rnacentral:rRNA from 1 species